rnacentral:rRNA from 1 species
GAUCCUGGCUCAGAUUGAACGCUGGCGGCAKGCYUWACACAUGCAAGUCGAGCGGGGAAGAGUAGCUUGCUACUUUACCUAGCGGCGGACGGGUGAGUAAUGCUUAGGAAUCUGCCUAUUAGUGGGGGACAACAUCUCGAAAGGGAUGCUAAUACCGCAUACGUCCUACGGGAGAAAGCAGGGGACCUUCGGGCCUUGCGCUAAUAGAUGAGCCUAAGUCGGAUUAGCUAGUUGGUGGGGUAAAGGCCUACCAAGGCGACGAUCUGUAGCGGGUCUGAGAGGAUGAUCCGCCACACUGGGACUGAGACACGGCCCAGACUCCUACGGGAGGCAGCAGUGGGGAAUAUUGGACAAUGGGGGGAACCCUGAUCCAGCCAUGCCGCGUGUGUGAAGAAGGCCUUUUGGUUGUAAAGCACUUUAAGCGAGGAGGAGGCUACCGAGAUUAAUACUCUUGGAUAGUGGACGUUACUCGCAGAAUAAGCACCGGCUAACUCUGUGCCAGCAGCCGCGGUAAUACAGAGGGUGCAAGCGUUAAUCGGAUUUACUGGGCGUAAAGCGCGCGUAGGUGGCCAAUUAAGUCAAAUGUGAAAUCCCCGAGCUUAACUUGGGAAUUGCAUUCGAUACUGGUUGGCUAGAGUAUGGGAGAGGAUGGUAGAAUUCCAGGUGUAGCGGUGAAAUGCGUAGAGAUCUGGAGGAAUACCGAUGGCGAARGCAGCCAUCUGGCCUAAUACUGACACUGAGGUGCGAAAGCAUGGGGAGCAAACAGGAUUAGAUACCCUGGUAGUCCAUGCCGUAAACGAUGUCUACUAGCCGUUGGGGCCUUUGAGGCUUUAGUGGCGCAGCUAACGCGAUAAGUAGACC